rnacentral:rRNA from 3 species
GUUGACCUCGGAUCAGGUAGGAAUACCCGCUGAACUUAAGCAUAUCAAAAGGCCGGAGGAA